AGAUGAACCGGAUUAUGCAGUCGAACACACAGAUUCGCAAGGGCGAUUGCAGUAUGUAUCCAACAUUCUUCUCGAGAUCCUGGCCGAUGUGAUCCAUACACCAAAGGAUGUCAUAACCUUUGGUUACCAGCUUGGCCUCUCUUAUUCCUCUAUGAAGAAACACAACGACCAAACAGACGUGUACCUCGAUAGUGUCUCAAGGUCAGGCUUUGGUAAGAUGCUACGUGACUGGAGACGACAGGUUCGACCUAGUGAGCAGGUAGAUGAACUUCAUUUGGCAUUGCAAGAUGCUGGGUUAGGCCAUGCAGCUGAGGUCAUCUUACAUGAACUGAGUAGCAGGAGGCGCUUUGCAAAAGUCAAACAAGUAUGGGAGUCAAAGAAGUAGGCAGACCUGUCAUUUAAAUGUCCCACGACCAAGAAGGGAUUCAAUUGGUUUGUGCAUUCAGCCUACGUCUAAACCUGUACUCCAAGUUUGCAUGAUUUUCAGUCUGAAUCUCGAAGUUGCUAUUUCUUCCCUUCCAUAUGCUGGGAGUCAUGUAGUUAAGCUACAUUUGAUGAUGAUUUCUUGUUAAAUCUAUUUCAUUUUUAAGAAGGCGGUUGAGGUAUGAAGUAUUACGAUCGGUAAACAUGUAUAUGAUUUUUUCAUGUGUGUGUGUGGGAGGGGGUAUAUAAAUAUCUUCCUGUUUAGAAUACGUCCUUCGUAGGCCUUGUUCCUUUUUCCUUCCAUCUUUCCCUCAAUGAUAUUCAACAAAAUUCAUCAUGCCAAAUUCAUUUUGUCUGUUUCUCGUGUUAUUGCACACUUCCGCUCCUUCCACGCUUUUUGUAGAACAUUAUCAUUUAUCGCUUGAUCUAUCCACCCAACCUAUCUUUGCCAUCUUCCUCCACAUUGAAAUGUCAAAACUCUCAACGGUUUAAUGUCUUCCUUUUUCAGAGUCCAUGCCUCUGAUCCAUUAGGCAUCACACUCCCAAAUUAUUUACAUGUGACAAUAAUACCAUUACAUAUUUUCGUUAUCGUAAGGUUGUGUGAAUACCGUUUCUGGUCUGUUGGUGCAAUAAUUGAAUUGACUUCAGUUUUAUUUAAUUUAUUAACCAUUAAUAUACAUGUAAAAGCAAAACAUACAAUAGAAAAUAGAAUACAUACAAAAUACAAAGCAAGCAUAAUGAUCAGGACCACAAAGAAGUAAAUUGGGCCCCCACAAAAACAAAUUCAAUUAAAUAUAAUUCAGUCACCAUACCCACACUUGUACACACAUAUACACACAUAGCUACAUGGAAACUGUCGUUAGAGAGUUUCAAAUAGGAAUUUUCGACAAAGCUUUUUAAAACAGGAUAAACUUGAUCCUUAUAGAAUUGGGUAAUUUAUUCCAUUUUCUCACGCCUGCAAUAUUUAAUGAAUUGAGGGAAGAAGUAAGACUUACUUCGGGUUGAUGAUGAAAAUGUUCUUUUUGACCUGUAGCAUAUGAAUGGAUAUUUUAAUUGGGAUAAACAUAUUACUGUAUUUCACAUGAAAAAUGUUAUGCCUUACAGAGUACAUACAAAUUAGAGUAUCGAAUGUAAUCAAAUCGUAUAAAGGCAAGAUUUGCAUCUGUUUAAAGAGUGGUAUACUU